UAUCGUUAGUUGCCAGCAUGUCAUGAUGGGGACUCUAACGAGACUGCGGUGCAAACCGCGAGGAAGGUGGGGAUGACGUCAAAUCAUCACGGCCCUUACGUCCUGGGCCACACACGUGCUACAAUGGCCGGUGCAGAGAGCAGCCACGUCGCAAGGCGGAGCGAAUCUAUAAAACCGGUCACAGUUCGGAUCGGAGUCUGCAACUCGACUCCGUGAAGCUGGAAUCGCUAGUGAUCGGAUAUCAGCCAUGAUCCGGUGAAUACGUUC
rnacentral:rRNA from 1 species